AUGGUCGCCGGCUGUGUCAUCACCGACGAGUGCACCCUGGCGGUGUCCACAGAGCGGAUGUGGAAGGUGGUCUUCUCCGGCGAGGACACGGCCGCCCUGCCCCAGGCCUGCGCGGGCUUCAUCGACGCCGUGGACGUCGAGGGCGACGGCGGACCCGGCAGCGUCUCCACCAUGACGCUCAGCCCGGCGGCAGCGGAGCUCGCAGGCUCGGGCGUGAUGAGGAGCCGCCUGGUGGCGCGCGACAACGCGGCCCGGGUGCUCAAGACGGAGGUGCUGGAGGGCAGCAAGGUGAGCGGCCAGCUCAAGUCGCAGGUGGCCGAGGUGAAGCUCGAGGCGGCCGGGGAGGGUGCUUGCGUGGCGAAGCUCAGGGUGGAGUACGAGAGGCUCGACGGCGGCGGGGCGCUGUCGGCGGAGGACCGGGCGACGCUCGCCGCGGGGUACCUCGACCUGCUCAAGAUGGUCGAGGCAUACCUGGUGGCGCACCCCGCCGAGUACGCCUAA
rnacentral:rRNA from 1 species